ensembl:snRNA U6 U6 spliceosomal RNA
GUGCUUGCUUUGGCAGCACAUAUACUAAAAUACGAAUUGGAAUGAUACAGAGAAGAUUAGCAUGGCCCCAGCGCAAGGAUGAUACACACAUUCAUUAAGCAUUCCAUAUUUUA